UAAGGAAUAUUGGUCAAUGGACGCAAGUCUGAACCAGCCAUGCCGCGUGAAGGAUGAAGGUCCUCUGGAUUGUAAACUUCUUUUAUCUGGGACGAAAACGGGAUUUUUAUCUCAAUUGACGGUACCAGAGGAAUAAGCACCGGCUAACUCCGUGCCAGCAGCCGCGGUAAUACGGAGGGUGCGAGCGUUAUCCGGAUUUACUGGGUUUAAAGGGUGCGUAGGUGGGCUUAUAAGUCAGUGGUGAAAUCUCCGAGCUUAACUUGGAAACUGCCGUGGAUACUAUAGGUCUUGAAUUAUGUGGAUGUAAGCGGAAUUUGUCAUGUAGCGGUGAAAUGCUUAGAUAUGACAUAGAACACCAAUUGCGAAGGCAGCUUACUACAUAUAAAUUGACGCUGAGGCACGAAAGCGUGGGGAUCAAACA
rnacentral:rRNA from 1 species